CCUAAAUACCAAACGCUCUUCUCCUUCACGCUACAGGAUCCCAAUGUUCAUCCUUCUCCUUCUUCGACUUCUUUGAUCCAUCUAGUGGUUGAUUCUAUCAACAAACCCUAAUCGCCAAAUAUUGUCGUAUCAAUUCGGCACUUGGUUCUUUAAGGUGCUCCUUGAUCCAACUUCUUCUCAAGUGCCAGUGCCUCAUAAUGUCGUAUUAAUUAUCAGUUCUUCAAAGGGUAUUUUGAGAUUUAUUUUACGUACAUAUAAUGAGGGGCAUCUAUGCAUUCGGAAGGUACUGUCGAGAGUUUUAACUUUCUGUCAAAUUAUCAAAGCUCUUUGAAAAUCACCAAGUUGUAUGUGCACAUGGUAGUUGAAACUGGCCUUUUCAAUUGUCUCUGACUUGUUAAGGUUAAUAGAGUCAUGGCCGUAAUGGAACGUGCAAGGGCGAAGCUACAUAGGAGCCAGGGGAUACAGAUGGGUACCUAUCAUGGUUCAUUAAGUACUAAAGGUUUAUCAAAAACUCAACUUGGUGGUGUCAUAUUUGGUGCCAAUAAAACAAAAGUCAACAAAUGCAUUUGCAAGAAACUCUUUGGUGAGUUAUCGAUUUCGACUGAUGAUUACUUUUUUUCUCAUGCAAAUCCUUCGUUCAUGGUUAACCUGUAGGUACUAUUGUUGCACUUAAUAAUUCUUCAGAUGAACUUAGAUAUGAUCAUAUGAAAUCAGUUUAUCUUCUUCUGCAAAGUCACCAAUAUGCACCUCCUUUUAACGGGUCAAAGAUGUGCGUAGAAACUUUGAUGACUUCCCAUGAAUGGUAUCCUCUUUAUUUCAAAUGGUUAAGGCGAAAGCGUGAAUUAGAGGUUUUUUUUUGUAAUUAAAUGAUACUCAUCCAUCAAGUUCAUUACUUGAACUCGUGCGAAUGCUUUGAAUGCUUUUUGAUGAUGAACAUUUGGGUUGGAAAACAAUCACGGAAUGUAGGAAGGCACGUUUUUUUUUACUACACAUAGUAUUAGCCAAAGUGUUGGAAAAGUCCUUCUGUUGAGCCGAUUUGACAGUGGAACGCCAUAUAAGGCCUCGAGGUAGUCUAAUCUGUUACUCUCUUUAAUUUCAGGGCUGUAUUCAUCAAGAAAAGCUAGGGUGAUUCUGCAACAUUAUCAACGAUUAUUGUAGGAAGAACUUGUGCGUGGAGAAAAAGGGCACUGGAGAUGGUAUUGUGAGCUAUGGAAUGGAUGAUGGGGAUGACAUUUAUAUGCUUUCUUGGACAUGCACCAUUAUUUGACCCCACAAUGUGUUGCGUAGCUUCUUAGGGUGUGCUUGUGCACUCCCCCUCCUAAUAAGGUAGACAUGCCACUGGCUGGGAAACGGGUCAAAACGAGUAUUUGGGGUUGGUAUGGAAAGUCUCCCAUUGGAGUUGGUUUAAUCUAAAUGAAUGUAUUUAUGCCGGUUUAGAAGUUACUAAACUUAUCGGCUAUCUGUGCUUAUCUUCAUGUGUUCAAGCGAAAUUAUUCAAGAUUCGCAGCAGAUAUGCAACAAGUUUGAAGGCCUGAAAGACACCUUAAUGGUUCUACUUAGUUCUAGGGUUCCGUCACCUGACCCGCCCGGUUUGCCAGGGAUUCUGAUGAUGGUUUAAUGAGGUUAAAGUGUUGCUCCUCCAAAAUGGACCAUGCAAAUUAUUGAUGACAUGAAUCAUAAUUACCUAAAGUUAUAAUUUUGCUAAAGCUAUAAUAUUAUUGAAAUACGUAGACAUUAUAAUGUAUUUUCUUAUCUUUUAGAAAUUGUCUCUUACUCCACUGUUGGUUCCUUUUUUUCUCAUUUUGAGAUGAUUGGGAAUAUAUUAGUUCUAAGGCUAUGUGUUAUGGAGGCUUGGUUGGAGGCUCGGUUGAAAAAAAAAGUGUUGUCACAUAGGUAACACGCAGAUACACUUAUUUCUCACCUACAAGUGCCAAAAAGAGGUGUAAUGGAAGGGGCUUAGUUGAGGGCUUGAUUAGUGAAAUAAUGGAUGGGCACAAGUGAAAUAAGAUAUCUUUGAUUAGAGGCAGUUUACUUAUCUUUUAGUGUGUUAAAUUAUAAUUUGAAUGUGUUACUGGGUUGAUGGUCAAGUGUUUGAAACUUUAUUAGAUUAUGUAAUGUGGAAAUUUUCUUAAAAUAAUAACUAUUAAUUAUUUGAUGAUUUCCUAAUUUAAUUCAUAUAGGAAUUAAUUUACUAUAGAGCAGUAUACAACACGUAAAAUACGAUAUUACUAAUUGUUGGUCUA